AGGUAACUCCCACAGUAGAAGCAAAUAUCAAAACCAGAGCAGAAGACAGAGGGAAAGAAAAAACUGAAAAGGUUUUAGCAGCUUCACUUCACUUCUCAAGAAGAACAAGUUUCUCAAGGUUUUCUUAAGGUCAACAUUAAGAUCUCAUUAUGGAGGCAGGGAAAAAGCUGAUAUCAAGACUCAAGGAUGAGCUUGGAAACAGCCCUGUUGUGUCAAACAUGGUGUUUGCCUUCAUCAUGGCUAUUGUGGAGAAGAUAGCAGAAGUGGAAUUUGCUUGCCCUUGCGAUCCACAAUGGAACCUCAUUUUUGCACUUGCAUUUUUUUUACUUCCAGCCAUCAUAACUUAUAUGUUAAUAGUAUUGAUCUAUAAGUGCAAGUGUUCAAACUUUUGUCCAAAGUCUUUGUACAGCUUUCUGCCUCCCUUAGUAUGGGUGACUCUCGUUUUCCUUGAUGGUCAAUACUUUGUCUGUGCAAUGACAGACUGGCACGGCACAUUUGUUUCUGUUGAUAAAACGUAUCUGAAAUGGUGCACACCAACCAACGUGACAGGAAACACAUCAGAAGAACUCAUGGCCAGGUCAGACAGACUGUUUGUUUUGUCUCAGGGCAUCGGAUUUGGUCUGCUCUCUCUUUUAUGCCUGGCUCUCUUUUUCUAUGUGUUGAUGAAGUGCUGCAACCAGAAGAAUAGGAAGAACAAAACACAUAGGAGGGAGGGGAAAAGAUCAAGCAUCAAAGCAUCAAAGUUUGUCGUUCAAUCAUCUGUGAUUUAAAUAUCUUCGUAAAAAUAUCACAAAUGCCUUAUGCUGUUGAAAAAGUGUAGUGUUAAGUGUUCUUAUAUUGGCCUUUUUGUCAGUGCAAUGCUUAAUAAUAAUAAGUAGAGGGGUAUUUUUUUCACACAUCUUUCUCUUGUCAUGUAUUUUUCUUAUAUGGUAUGCUAGCUGCUUGUUUGCAAGAACAGGAAACAUAGAACUGUAAAGCUAACUUGAGCUGUGGUCAACUGUUUCAUGCAAGCAAAACCUUGCAUGAAAUAGAAAAGCUUUCCGUAUUUCUCAUUGCUCAUUUCGCGAUCUGGGGUAAAGGUAAAUCCUUGCAACCUGCUUGUCAAUCAUAUGAAAUUCAUUUGUAAAAAGCAUAUGUUUAUCUCUUUUACUAUUGCUGCGUGUAUUCUCUGUGAAUAUGAUGAUGUUACCUAUGGGAAACGAAAGGGGGAAGGAAAUUAGUCUUUUACUCGAUCUGUUUUCACUUUACUUUUAUUCAGCAUUUGAAAACAUUCAAACAAAAGAAUGUCAUGUUUUGUGUGUAUGAAAAUGUAUUGGGAAAGUUGUUAUAUAACAAAUGGUGCAUGUAAACCAUCGUGGUUUGGCUUUUUUUCCCCUGACAUGCAGUGUGAAUUAUGGGACCUCAUAUCCACAGGUACAUUCAGUUUGUCACAGGUGGACUCCAGUCAAAUUCUAGACACGUCCCAAGGGAAAUAAAAGCCAAAAGGAGUACCACAGCAAGGGGUUUUGAUAAUUUUGAAAAUGAGAGAUUUCCGUUUUUGAUUUUUAAUAAAUUUGAAAAAUGCACAA